GAUGCCCCACACACCAACCAUGGCUGUGGGCUCAGCUCCCCCUAAGCAAAACCCCACGUUUGCAGGAGGUCGCAGGGGAAGGGACUGCCCACAGCAGCCCCCUGAUCAUCAUCCCUCCCUUCCUCUGGGAAAUCUAAAGCAGUUUUAAAGGCUUCCCUGCAUUUUAAUUCCUCCCUCUCUCAAGAGAUGUGAGAGCCCAAGAGUUUCAGCCUUGCUGCCUGGAUGCUCAACAAAGUUGGAAUCUCCAUUAGUGACAUCAUAGGCCGUUGCCAUGGGGAUGUCACAAACUUAUUGCCAUGGGGAUGUCACAGACUCAGUGCUGUGGAUGGGCAGCGAGGGAGGCAGUGCUUCCCAGGCACCGGUGGCCCCGGUAAUUAGUGAGCUGGCAUGGGAAGUGAGGGUGAGAUGCAGGAUAGGAACAUAAAGCCAUUCACUUUGAGACUGGAAAGCACGUGGAGAAGUACCUGUGCUACUACUUCAGCUCUAGGCAGGACCCAGCAUCACUCCAAGAGACCUCAGCGCUCUCAACACAACCUGUGCUGCUUCUCCAUGAUACCCAGCCCUUCCCACAGACAAGGAAAUCUCGGCGCGGAUAAAAAAUGCAUGAAAAACCCAUCUGAACAGAGAAAUCCACAGCUCGUACCGACCCCCAGCACAUCUCACCCCAUCCCACUCAGCCGCCAGCACAGCCACGCUCCAGCACAGGUCCCAGCGUGGGUUUCCUCCCCAUGCUGCACACCAGGGAUCCCAACCCUUACACACAGCCAGCUCCAAAGAGGCCCUGAGAGGAAGGCAGCCCCCAGCACCAGCAGGAGCCAUCCUGUCCCCUGCAAUCACUGCAGGAAAUGAACACAGGUGCGCAGAUGGAGAAACACAGAUUUGAGUGACCAAUGCAGUGGAAAGAAAUGGACUGAGUUCAGGCAACAAGUCUCACUACACAUGGAGGUGUCAACACCAAGAGAACAAGGGGGUGAGAAGCUAAGCUCAUUUUGUUGCCUCAACCCACUGAUCCAGGACACCAUACAAGCCACCAGCACAACAACAGGUGUCCAAGAGAAACAUCACUCUGCAACGCAGCACUGACCAGUAGCCAAGAAUUACCCAAAAAUAAAGUAUUAUCUCAGCACAUCGCUGUCCUCGCAGGCAGAAGAGCAGCCUAAUGGGAGACAAGUGCUCAGCACAUCCCUAAAACAAGGCUCCUGUUUGAAGUGCAUGGAUCAAGGAUUAAGAGAGCCUGGUAGGAGCCUCCAGCUCUGCUCACACACGGAAAGGCAGCUCAGCAGCAACUUCACAUGCAAUGUUGGGCUGGAUUCUGGGAAGGAGUAAUUGCAAAGUGUGUGCUCCGCUUCUCUAUGGAGCUGCAGGGAGGGAAGGCAGAGCUGCCUUGUCCUGGCUGCAGGAGCACCCAGCACUGCUCUGCCUCUGUAAACAACUUAUUUCCCCUCUCCAAUCCAAGCAACAAGCAGGGUUAGUUCAAUCCAAGCACGCAACAGAGGAUGAGAACCCGGCAGCAGCCCCUACCUGUGUGUGCAUCCUUCCCUUCUCACCACGCAGCCAGGAGCACGCUGCUCUCCCUUGGUACCUCUCCAGCAUCCUGCGUUGAAGGUAGAUUUAUGCACUGAUCAUGGUUGGAGCUGUUAAUAAAAGAGUGCAGAGAAA